rnacentral:rRNA from 1 species
ACGGAGGGUGCAAGCGUUAUUCGGAAUUACUGGGCUUAAAGCGCGUGUAGGCGGUCCUGCAAGUCUGGGGUGAAAACCCCGGGCUUAACCCGGGACGUGCAUUGGAAACUGCAGGUCUUGAGUACUGGAGAGGAUGGGGGAAUUCCCGGUGUAGAGGUGAAAUUCGUAGAGAUCGGGAGGAAUAUCAGUGGCGAAGGCGCCCAUCUGGACGGUAACUGACGCUGAGACGCGAAAGCGUGGGGAGCAAACAG